rnacentral:rRNA from 1 species
AGGACGAACGCUGGCGGCGCGCCUAACACAUGCAAGUCGAGCGAUAACCAGGGCUUGCCCUGGGGACAGCGGCGAACGGGUGCGUAACACGUGAGCAACCUGCCCCAAAGACCGGGACAACCCGAGGAAACUCGGACUAAUACCGGAUGCCCUCACCGGGUCGCAUGGUCUGGUGAGGAAAUGGAUUCCGCUUUGGGAUGGGCUCGCGGUCUAUCAGCUUGUUGGUGGGGUAACGCCUACCAAGGCGACGACGGAUAGCUGGUCUGAGAGGACGAUCAGCCACACUGGGACUGAGACACGGCCCAGACUCCUACGGGAGGCAGCAGUGGGGAAUCUUGCGCAAUGGGGGAAACCCUGACGCAGCGACGCCGCGUGCGGGAUGAAGGCCUUCGGGUUGUAAACCGCUUUCAGCAGGGACGAAAUUGACGGUACCUGCAGAAGAAGGCCCGGCCAACUACGUGCCAGCAGCCGC